rnacentral:rRNA from 1 species
CCUACGGGGGGCAGCAGUGGGGAAUAUUGGACAAUGGGGGCAACCCUGAUCCAGCCAUGCCGCGUGUGUGAAGAAGGCCCUCGGGUUGUAAAGCACUCUCAGUGAGGAAGAACGCCUGGUGGUUAAUACCCAUCAGGAAAGACAUCACUCACAGAAGAAGCACCGGCUAACUCCGUGCCAGCAGCCGCGGUAAUACGGAGGGUGCGAGCGUUAAUCGGAAUUACUGGGCGUAAAGCGCGCGUAGGUGGCUUGAUAAGCCGGUUGUGAAAGCCCCGGGCUCAACCUGGGAACGGCAUCCGGAACUGUCAAGCUAGAGUGCAGGAGAGGAAGGUAGAAUUCCCGGUGUAGCGGUGAAAUGCGUAGAGAUCGGGAGGAAUACCAGUGGCGAAGGCGGCCUUCUGGACUGACACUGACACUGAGGUGCGAAAGCGUGGGUAGCAAACAGGAUUAGAUACCCCUGUAGUC